CUCGAGCUUCCCACUGUUGUGAAUUUUUGUCUGAAAUUGAAAAAAGAUUUCUCCGCAGAAAAUCUAUGGCAGGAAUCAACCGCGGUCAUUCCGUGUUACCAUACUGUUUGUUCUGUAGAAUUAAUAAACUGCUCAAAUCGAGAUGCAAAAUCUUUGUAUCAGAGGAGAUUGCCACCGGGAGUAAAAGUCGAUUUGUUGAAGUUUACUUUCGCGUGAAGGAAAAAAUUGUGUCCAACAUUUGGUUUCAUUUGUGCGAAGAAAAAAAAUUGUCUACAUCGUUCGGUUUUGUUCGCGAGGAGGAGUAUGUGAUCGUUGGUGACUGUGAUGGGUUUCAAAUCUAAAUCCAAAAUUUUAGGUUUAUUUCACGUAAAGGAGAAACUGGUAAUGCGGAGAUAUCCGAUGCAUAACAAGAAGCGAUGGACAUUCAUUUUCAACAAGUCAGUUAUGUCCCUCUACAGAAGGAUUUUGAGCAGCAUAUAACGAAUGUUAUGGAGGCCAUGCCAAUUGCCUGAAACUUCAUUGCUCAACUGCAACGCUAGUAUGAGACGAAUUAUCUAUUUCAAGAGACUCAUUGGGGAAUAAUAAAUAAUAUUAUAACCGAGUCGUUGAAUAGUUUGGUGCACUCAACAAUGUCAUUACCUUUUCUCAGGAUGUUUUAUUCCAUCCGGCAACAUAAAUCAAAUUUAUUUAUAAGGGUAUUUAAUAGUUUUGAAGAAAUUGCUACAAUCAAAAUACGAGUAUGUUGUGGCGUUCAGGGAGCAUAUUCAUUAAUAUCAGAUGUAACAUAUUCGAGUAAGAGGGUGCAUCUUUGUGUAUGAAAGUAUUCAUAUUCGUAUAUAGGUAUAAUUAUUGUAAACAUGAGUAUUUAAAAAUC